rnacentral:lncRNA from 1 species
CUUUUGAUUAACUAAUUAUUAUAUCACUUUUUAAUAAAAUUUUAACUCUUUUAGCUGCUUAACCAAUGCGCCGGGAACACGGGUUAAUAUUGUCCUAUCUUUAAUACCUAUUCAGUUGAGUUAUUUAAUCCUGAAUAAUUUAACUGACCUAUUUGAAUUUCAUGAGCAAGACAAGUCUAUAUAUGUUUUUGUGAAAGUAAGUGAAUUUUAAUGCAUGAGUAAUAAAUAGAAUCUCUAACCAUAAAAAUAAAGGACGAAAGUCAGGUCACAUUUUGAUAAGUAGUAUGGUCAUCAUAUUUCACAGGGAUAUAAAUUUCAUAAGCUGGCUAGCCCAAAGUGAUUUUGAUGAUAGACCUUGAAAUGAGAUUCACUUUCUAGUGACAUUUAUGUCACAUGUUUCUUAUUCCUUUCCAUUAUUGCAGGGCAGAUUCACUUUCUAGUCUUUACUCCAGAAAGACCUAGCUAUAUGGAGUAUGCUGUAACAAAGUUCCCAAAGGAAACUCUGAAAAACCAGUACUUACUGUCCGAAUCCCAAGCCUUGACUGUUGACUCAUACAUACCUCACACAGGAAAAUAUUUAUACUCUCUCUCCAUUGUAUAGGUGACAUUUAGCAUGGGAAAGGGGAAUUGUUUCCCAUCAUGGAAAAACAAAUCUUAAUCAUUAAUCAAAGAGAGACACUGAUUUUACCAUAGUCUCUCUACACUAAAUUUUUUUUCCUUUGUCUUCAACCUUAGAAUCAUCAACCAGACAUCAAUAAACCACCAGCACCAUCGAUUUUGAUAUUAACUUUUCAUUAUAAUUGCUAGAACAAGUAUUUACGACAACAAUCAUUUUUCUUAUUAAGAUGUGUCGAAACACAAAAACUUAGUUUGAUUCAAUGUAGAAUUAACUUUGUCUUACUGCUACUCAAUAUAUGAUAUAAAUGCUUUCUAUUUAUACUAGAUAGGAAUCAUAUUGUAAUAUCAUGUAAAUUUUAGCAUCACCAU